GACGAACGCUGGCGGCGUGCUUAACACAUGCAAGUCGAACGAAGUGGCGAACGGGUGAGUAACGCGUAAUCAACCUGCCCUUCAGAGGGGGACAACAGUUGGAAACGACUGCUAAUACCGCAUACUGAAGGAGGGGAUUGCGUCUGAUUAGCGAGUUGGAGGGGAAACGGCCCACCAAGGGGAUGAUCAGUAGCCGGUCGCAGAGAAUGACAAGCCACCUUGGGACUGAGACACGGCCCAGACUCCUCCGGGGAGCUGCGGUAUGGCCUCUUCCUCAUUCCUCUCAAGCCUGAUUCCUCCAUGCCGCGUGUGUGAAGAAUUCCUUCAUGUUGUCCAGCUCUGUUAAUCGGGACGCGGUACCGGAAUAGAAAGCCACGGCUAACUACGUGCCAGCAGCCGCGGUAAUUC
rnacentral:rRNA from 1 species